UGGGGAAUAUUGGGCAAUGGGCGCAAGCCUGACCCAGCAACGCCGCGUGAAGGAUGAAGGCUUUCGGGUUGUAAACUUCUUUUAUCAGGGACGAAACAAAUGACGGUACCUGAUGAAUAAGCCACGGCUAACUACGUGCCAGCAGCCGCGGUAAUACGUAGGUGGCAAGCGUUAUCCGGAUUUACUGGGUGUAAAGGGCGUGUAGGCGGGACUGCAAGUCAGAUGUGAAAACUAUGGGCUCAACCCAUAGCCUGCAUUUGAAACUGUAGUUCUUGAGUGCUGGAGAGGCAAUCGGAAUUCCGUGUGUAGCGGUGAAAUGCAUAGAUAUACGGAGGAACACCAGUGGCGAAGGCGGAUUGCUGGACAGUAACUGACGCUGAGGCGCGAAAGCGUGGGGAGCAAACA
rnacentral:rRNA from 1 species